rnacentral:lncRNA from 1 species
GCCACAUGGACUUGGAUUUAAAAUGGCCUACUAAUAUAUAUUCACGCGUGGCAAUCUGCAAAUACAUGAGCUCUGGAAGAGGAUAUUACAGCUUGUUUAAUGCAUUAAUUGGAGUGCCAAGUGGGGUGUCAAAUAUUUUCAUUCUAGUGGGUACAGGUGGCAGCUGACCCAUGUGCAAAUACUUGGCGGCGUAGAAGCCACCACAUUUAUUUAUUUCAGGAUCAACUUUCUCUGCGCAGCAGUAUUGCACACUAAAAAAAAAAACUAUGGCAUCACAAAACAUGUAUGUAAGCUACGGAGUAUUAUAAAACUUUGCUGGGAACUGGUUCUUCAUUCUUCACUUGCAAAGGUGCAAUGGAAACCAGGAGUAGCAGUGGCCGGCCGGGAGAGGGGAGAGGGGAGCC